rnacentral:rRNA from 1 species
CCUGGUUGAUCUUGCCAGUAGUAUAUGCUUGUCUCAAAGAUUAAGCCAUGCAUGUCUCAGUGCAAGCCACAUUAAGGUGAAACCGCGAAUUACAUCAGUUAUGGUUCCUUAGAUCAUACCCACAUUACUUGGAUAACUGUGGUAAUUCUAGAGCUAAUACAUGCAAAUAGAUUUCCGACCAGAGAUGGAAGGAAUGCUUUUAUUAGAUCAAAACCAAUCGGUGGCGGGCUUGCCUUGCUCACCGUUUGACUUGGUGACUCUGAAUAACUUUGUGCUGAUCGCACGGUCUAGUACCGGCGACGCAGCUUUCAAAUGUCUGCCUUAUCAACUGUCGAUGGUAGUUUUUGCGACUACCACGGUUGUUACGGGUAACGGGGAAUCAGGGUUCGAUUCCGGAGAGGGAGCCUGAGAAACGGCUACCACACCCAAGGAAGGCAGCAGGCGCGCAAAUUACCCACUCCCGGCACGGGGAGGUAGUGACAAAAAAUAACGAUACGGGACUCAUCCGAGGCCCCGUAAUCGGAAUGAGUACACUUUAAAUCCUUUAACGAGGAUCUAUUAGAGGGCCGGUCUGGUGCCAGCAGCCGCGGCAAUUCCUGCUCUAAUAGCGUAUAUUAAAGUUGUUGCGGUUAAAAAGCUCGUAGUUGAAUCUGUGUCCCACACUGUCGGUUCACCGCUCGCGGUGUUUAACAGACAUGUCUGUGGGACGUCCUACCGGUGGGCUUAGCCCGUAGAAAGGCGGCCCAACUCAAAAUCCUGCCAAGGUGCUCUUCACCCAGUGUCGAGGUGGGCCGGUACGUUUACUUUGAACAAAUUAGAGUGCUUAAAGUAGGCUCAUUCGCCUGAAUAUUGUGUGCAUGGAAUAAUGGAGUAGGACCUCGGUUUUAUUUUGUUGGUUUUCGGAAUUCCGAGGUAAUGAUUAAUAGGGACAACUGGGGGCAUUCGUAUUGCGACGUUAGAGGUGAAAUUCUUGGAUCUUCGCAAGACGGACAGAAGCGAAAGCAUUUGCCAAAUGUGUUUUCAUUAAUCAAGAACGAAAGUUAGAGGUUCGAAGGCGAUCAGAUACCGCCCUAGUUCUAACCAUAAACUAUGCCAGCUAGCGAUCCGCUGAAGUUCCUCCGAUGACUCGGCGGGCAGGUGGUGGUGCAUGGCCGUUCUUAGUUGGCGAAGUGAUUUGACUGGUUAAUUCUUGGCAUGCACUUCUCUCUCAGUGCCACGAAUUUAUUCGCGCCAGACCCCGCCUGCUCCGGCCGACUGCCAGACGGUAUAAAUGAUAUAGGGUUGCUUUUAUAAGCGUUCGGCCGGUUGCAAGCACGGACGGUUAUUGGCCGUCGGACCUAGUCCGGCAUCGAUGGCGUCUCGAGCUGUUAGCUACCGUGUUCUCGGACGGACUCUAUUACCGGUCAGCGAUGCUAUUGCUUUGGGUACUUUCAGGACCCGUCUUGAAACACGGACCAAGGAGUCUAGUAUGUGCGCGAGUCAUUGGGUAAUACAAAACCUAAAGGCGCAAUGAACGUAAAGGUUUGCUUAAGUAAACUGAGGGAUGACGAACCGCAUCUACGGAUGCGUGCUUGCAAUCCCGGGGCGUCUCACUCUCAUUGCGAGAAGAGACGCACUCAGAGUGUACACGCUAGGACCCGAAAGAUGGUGAACUAUGCUCGGCCAGGUCGAAGUCAGGGGAAAUCCUGAUGGAGGACCGUAGCGAUUCUGACGUGCA